rnacentral:lncRNA from 1 species
CAUUGUUCUGCAUUGUUACCCUGAAAACUGAAGUUGUGUUUUUACGCCCAGAACAGGUACAGUUUCCACCUCAACAAAAUCAAACCUGCUCAGGAAGAACUACGGCUACGUCAUCYCCAUAAACUGCUGGUGUUCAGUCUCCAUGAACAAUUUUGUCAGUGGACCUGAAUGAGACUGCAGAGGGAGAGGAAGCAGCAGAACUGGGACCAGCAAGCAGAUGUCCUGAGUCAACACAAGGAACUCCAGACUGACAUUCCAGUAUAACCCCCAGCGCGUUGAAAUAGGUAAUGGAGAUGUCAUUUUGAAGUGCAGCUGGGUUAAAAAMC